rnacentral:rRNA from 1 species
GACGAACGCUGGCGGCGUGCCUAACACAUGCAAGUCGGACGGAUCAGGUAUGACAGCUUGCUGUAGUGCCUGGUUAGUGGCGGACGGGUGAGUAACGCGUGAGGACCUACCCUGGAGAGGGGGAUAACGGCUGGAAACGGCUGCUAAUACCCCGUAAGCCUGAGGGUGAAAGGGAGCGAUCUGCUCCGGGGCGGCCUUGCGUCCUAUCAGCUAGUUGGUGGGGUAAUGGCCUACCAAGGCGAAGACGGGUAGCCGGCCUGAGAGGGCGACCGGCCACACUGGAACUGAGACACGGUCCAGACUCCUACGGGAGGCAGCAGUGGGGAAUUUGGACAAUGGGCGCAAGCCUGAUCCAGCAAUGCCGCGUGCAGGAUGAAGGCCUUCGGGUUGUAAACUGCUUUUGUACGGAACGAAACGGUGAGCUCUAAUAAAGCUUGCUAAUGACGGUACCGUAAGAAUAAGCACCGGCUAACUACGUG